rnacentral:rRNA from 1 species
UGGGGAAUCUUCCGCAAUGGGCGAAAGCCUGACGGAGCAACGCCGCGUGAGUGAAGACGGCCUUCGGGUUGUAAAACUCUGUGAUUCGGGACGAAAGAUAAGUAGACGAAUAAUCUGCAUAAGUGACGGUACCGAAAAAGCAAGCCACGGCUAACUACGUGCCAGCAGCCGCGGUAAUACGUAGGUUGCAAGCGUUGUCCGGAAUUAUUGGGCGUAAAGCGCGCGCAGGCGGCUACUUAAGUCCAUCUUAAAAGUGCGGGGCUUAACCCCGUGGUGGGAUGGAAACUGAGAAGCUGGAGUGUCGGAGAGGAAAGUGGAAUUCCUAGUGUAGCGGUGAAAUGCGUAGAGAUUAGGAAGAACACCGGUGGCGGAGGCGACUUUCUGGACUUUUACUGACGCUCAGGUACGAAAGCGUGGGGAGCAAACAGG